UACGGAGGGUGCAAGCGUUAAUCGGAAUUACUGGGCGUAAAGGGUGAGUAGGUGGUUUAAUAAGUUAGGUGUGAAAUACCCGGGCUUAACCUGGGGGAGUCAUUUAAGACUGUUAGACUAGAGUAUGGGAGAGGGUAGUGGAAUUUCCGGUGUAGCGGUGAAAUGCGUAGAGAUCGGAAGGAACACCAGUGGCGAAGGCGUCUACCUGGCCUGAUACUGACACUGAGUCACGAAAGCGUGGGUAGCAAACAGG
rnacentral:rRNA from 1 species